UUUAAAGAUUAAGGUUGCUGUUAUUCUGUAUUUUUUGUGUUGUCAAAUAAUCAAUUUAUUAAGUAAACAGAUCUUAUUGAUACUGGAGGGUGUCACAGAUGUCCAAAUAGCCUACUUUCUAACGUUCCUAAGGUAAGCUGGUGAAUUUUUCUUUUGAUCAAGGCCAAGAGGUUUGGGUAGACACUUCAAGUGUACUGCAACACUUGACAACGUCUACUCAUAGUACCAUGUCUUCACCAUGCCCCAUGUAAAAAAAAUGUCGAUUUUAGGAUAACGGUUGUUUUUUCCCUGUGUUUCUCAUGUUGUCAUCUAAUCGUGUCAUUAAGAAAACAGAUUUGAAUGAAACUGGAUGGAGUCACAGACUUCAAACUACAAUCAAACGUCCUAAGGUAACCUGAUGAUUUUUAAUAUUGAUCAAGACCUAGAAGUUUGGUAGACAUCUCAAGUAUGUUGCUACAUUUCACUCACACUUGAUGACGUCUACUCAUGGUAGCAUGUCUUCACCAUACCGCAUGCAAAAUAAAUGUCUAUUUGAGGAGAAAAGUCCUUUUUUUCUGAUUUUUUUUCUUGUUUUCAGCAGAUCAGGUCAUUAAGAAAACAGAUUUGAAUUAAAUUGGACGGAGUCACGGGUUUUAAACUAGCAUCAAACGUUCCUAAGGUCAUUAAGUAAACAGAUUUGAA